rnacentral:tRNA from 1 species
GCCGGUGUGAUGGAAUUGGUAGACGUACCGCACUCAAAAUGCGGCGGAAAUUUUCCGUGCCGGUUCGAGUCCGGCCACCGGCACCA